rnacentral:rRNA from 1 species
UAUAGAAUACUCAAGCUAUGCAUCCAACGCGUUGGGAGCUCUCCCAUAUGGUCGACCUGCAGGCGGCCGCGAAUUCACUAGUGAUUAGAGUUUGAUCAUGGCUCAGAUUGAACGCUGGCGGUAGGCUUAACACAUGCAAGUCGUGCGAGAAAGUAUCUUCGGAUAUGAGUAGAGCGGCGGACGGGUGAGUAACGCGUAGGAAUCUACCUAGUAGAAGGGGAUAGCCCGGGGAAACUCGGAUUAAUACCGUAUACCUCCUUCGGGAGAAAGAAGGCCUCUCUUUGAAGCUUUCGCUACUAGAUGAGCCUGCGUAAGAUUAGCUUGUUGGUGAGGUAAAGGCUCACCAAGGCGACGAUCUUUAGCGGGUCUGAGAGGACGAUCCGCCACAUUGGGACUGAGACACGGCCCAGACUCCUACGGGAGGCAGCAGUGGGGAAUAUUGGACAAUGGGCGCAAGCCUGAUCCAGCCAUACCGCGUGUGUGAAGAAGGCCCUAGGGUUGUAAAGCACUUUAAGUUGGGAAGAAAAGUUAUUGGUUAAUACCCAAUAGCCGUGACAUUACCAUCAGAAUAAGGACCGGCUAAUUCCGUGCCAGCAGCCGCGGUAAUACGGAAGGUCCAAGCGUUAAUCGGAAUUACUGGGCGUAAAGCGCGCGUAGGUGGUUUAUUAAGUUGGAUGUGAAAUCCCCGGGCUCAACCUGGGAACUGCAUCCAAAACUGAUUCACUAGAGUACGAUAGAGGGAGGUAGAAUUCACAGUGUAGCGGUGGAAUGCGUAGAUAUUGUGAAGAAUACCAAUGGCGAAGGCAGCCUCCUGGAUCUGUACUGACACUGAGGUGCGAAAGCGUGGGUAGCGAACAGGAUUAGAUACCCUGGUAGUCCACGCCGUAAACGAUGUCAACUAGCUGUUGGGGAACUAUGUUCUUCAGUGGCGCAGCUAACGUAGUAAGUUGACCGCCUGGGGAGUACGGCCGCAAGGCUAAAACUCAAAUGAAUUGACGGGGACCCGCACAAGCGGUGGAGCAUGUGGUUUAAUUCGAUGCAACGCGAAAAACCUUACCUAUACUUGACAUACCUGGAAUGCUUUGUAAUGAAGUAGUGCCUUCGGGAGCCAGGAUACAGGUGCUGCAUGGCUGUCGUCAGCUCGUGUCGUGAGAUGUUCCGUUAAGUCGGAUAACGAGCGCAACCCUUACCCUUAUUUGCCAGCGAUUCGGUCGGGAACUAUAAGGGGACUGCCGGUGAUAAACCGGAGGAAGGUGAGGACGACGUCAAGUCAUCAUGGCCCUUACGUAUAGGGCUACACACGUGCUACAAUGGGGAAUACAGACGGACGCUAAGCCGCGAGGUGGUGCUAAUCCUAGAAAAUUCUUCGUAGUCCGGAUUGGAGUCUGCAACUCGACUCCAUGAAGUCGGAAUCGCUAGUAAUCGCGAAUCAGCAUGUCGCGGUGAAUACGUUCUCGGGUCUUGUACACACCGCCCGUCAUACCAUGGAAGUGGAUUGCACCAGAAGUAGAUAGUCUAACCUUCGGGAGGGCGUUUACCACGGUGUGCUUCAUGACUGGGGUAAAGUCGUAACAAGGUAAAUCGAAUUCCCGCGGCCGCCAUGGCGGCCGGGAGCAUGCGACGUCGGGCCCAA